AAACUAACAAGGAUUCCCUUAGUAACGGCGAGUGAACCGGGAAGAGCUCAAAUUUGAAAUCUGRCGUCCUCAGGGCGUCCGAGUUGUAAUCUAUAGAGGCGUUUUCCGUGCCGGACCGUGUCCAAGUCCCUUGGAACAGGGUAUCAAAGAGGGUGACAAUCCCGUACUUGACACGAUGACCGGUGCUCUGUGAUACGUCUUCUACGAGUCGAGUUGUUUGGGAAUGCAGCUCAAAAUGGGUGGUGAGUUCCAUCUAAAGCUAAAUAUUGGCGAGAGACCGAUAGCGAACAAGUACCGUGAGGGAAAGAUGAAAAGCACUUUGGAAAGAGAGUUAAACAGUACGUGAAAUUGUUGAAAGGGAAACGAUUGAAGUCAGUCGUGACCGUUGGGCUCAGCCGGUUCUGCCGGUGUAUUCCCUUCGGUCGGGUCAACAUCAGUUUUGACCGGUGGAUAAGGGCAGCAGGAAGGUGGCACCCUCGGGUGUGUUAUAGCCUGUCGUCGCAUACAUCGGUCGAGACUGAGGAACGCAGCUCGCCUUUAUGGCCGGGGUUCGCCCACGUCCGAGCUUAGGAUGUUGACAUAAAUGGCUUUAAACGAC
rnacentral:rRNA from 1 species